rnacentral:rRNA from 1 species
GAGUUUGAUCCUGGCUCAGGAUGAACGCUGGCGGCGUGCCUAACACAUGCAAGUCGAACGGGGGCAGAUUGAAACCUAGUGAUAUCUGCCCGAGUGGCGGACGGGUGAGUAACGCGUGGACAACCUGCCGCAUGCAGGGGGAUACCGGCUGGAAACAGCCGCUAAUACCGCAUAUGCGCACGGCGCCGCAUGGCGCCGCGCGGAAAGGGAGCGAUCCCGGCAUGCGAUGGGUCCGCGUCCGAUUAGCUGGUUGGCGGGGCAGCGGCCUACCAAGGCGACGAUCGGUAGCCGGCCUGAGAGGGCGGACGGCCACAUUGGGACUGAGACACGGCCCAGACUCCUACGGGAGGCAGCAGUGGGGGAUAUUGCACAAUGGGGGGAACCCUGAUGCAGCGACGCCGCGUGGGUGAAGGAGUGCUUCGGCAUGNAAAGCCCUAUCGGCAGGGAAGAAGCAAGACGGUACCUGACUAAGAAGCCCCGGCUAACUACGUGCCAGCAGCCGCGGUAAUACGUAGGGGACGAGCGUUAUCCGGAUUCACUGGGUGUAAAGGGAGCGUAGACGGCCAUGCAAGCCAGGGGUGAAAGCCCGGGGCCCAACCCCGGGACUGCCCUUGGAACUGCAUGGCUGGAGUGCGGGAGGGGCAGGCGGAAUUCCUGGUGUA